AUUGAACGCUGGCGGCAGGCCUAACACAUGCAAGUCGAACGAGUGGCGGACGGGUGAGUAAUGUCUGGGAAACUGCCCGUUGGAGGGGGAUAACUAUUGGAAACGGUAGCUAAUACCGCAUACCAUCGGAUGUGCCCAGAUGGGAUUAGCUUGUAGGUGAGGUAACGGCUCACCUAGGCGACGAUACCUAGCUGGUCUGAGAGGAUGACCAGCCACACGGGAAAUGAGACACGGUCCAGACUCCUACGGGAGGCAGUAGUGGGGAAGAUUGCACAAUGGGCGCAAGCCUGAGGCAGCCAUGCCGCGUGUAUGAAGAAGGCCUUCGUGUUGUAAAAUACUUUCAGCGGGUAGGCGUUACCCGCAGAAGAAGCACCGGCUAACUCCGUGCCAGCAGCCGCGGUAAUAC
rnacentral:rRNA from 1 species